AUCUGAAGUGUGUUAACUCAUCUACCGAGCAGUCACACCUGCCUGACACUCCCCUUCUGCCGCACAGCAAUGCACACUUUCUUUAUGGAUAUUUAAAAGCAUCAAGAUGUGGUUCUGAAGUGAUCAAACUAUCAGCUAUAGCGAUGGAAAAUGAGAGAAGAAGGUUGUCCCUUGCCGCAAACGCACUGGACCCUCGCCCCAGCUAUGCCAUUCGUCGCAGGUUCUCCGGGCCAGUCAUGCUUCCACCUUUGGCCCGCAGACACUCGUCGCUGGAUGGCAGGAAGAUACAGAACCUUGAAGCUCUGUUUAGAUCAGCCCUGGCCAGUGUUGAGACCCAGAAGGAGAUAAAGUGAGUACUGCCGCG